AAGAAUCAAACAGGGACAAACAUGGAAUAUCUGCAAAAUUUAGUUUGUAGAUCCUUGUAGAAUCAAUUCCAGACUUCCAGUCAUUUCCUUAUCAUAAAGUACGACCUUGGGAGAACUGCACAUCAAAUACAUAAGAUGCAAGGGGAUUACAGCUGCAGUUCGCAUUGAUCUCUCGCUGAAAUUGGCUGAUAGCUUGAUACUACUAAGUUAAACUGCCGCAGAUGAGGAAAAGUUAGAAAACGUUGAUGCUCGAUCAGCUAAUGUCAAGACCAUCUAACAAUUUAUCAUUUUUCAUUGCAAGGAGCUCAAGGUAAUCUAGUCUACAUCCAUAGCAUCCUUUUCAUUGCUGCUGCUGGACCAGAGCUUGAUCGUUCGAUCAUGUGAGACAGUUGCAAUAUAGCGCCCAUCUGCACUAAUAUCCAAAGAAGUAACUUUUGCUUCGUGCCCUGAUAAUGUCUUGACAGGAAGUUUAAGCCUCAAGAGGGCUACAACCUUAGCAGUCAUGUCAUAAGAUGCAGUGACCAGGUUGUAGCCCUCUUGAGGCUUAAACUUCACUUGUGAUAUAAGAUUUGAGUGGGCAGGUAUGGUAUACAAUGAUUUUUUCUUCCUUAAAUCCCAUAUCCGACAAGUAUUAUCUUCCCCACCAGUGGCCAAAUGAUACCCAUUGGGCGAAAAACUGAUACCAAGAACUGGCUUGACAUGGCCCUCCAAGGCCAGAAUACUUCUUCCAGUACGAAGAUCCCAAACACGAGCAAGUGCAUCCAGUCCACAAGAUCCUGCUAAAGAACCAUCCUGGUGGAAGGAUAUCCCAUAGACACUCCUACUGUGACCUUCUUGAAGAAGUAAUUCCACACCAGUAUCUACAUCCCAUAGUCUCCAUGUCUUAUCAAAGCUUGUAGUGCCCAAGUACUUCCCUGAUGGAUGGAAAGCAAUCCGUGCAAGGCGAUCUAGAUGACCCUCAAAUGUCUGAAGGACAGAACCAUCAGCAUUCCACAACCUUGCAGUUCGAUCAGCAGAGGCAGUUGCUAAAUGGUUUUGCACAGGAGAAAAUGCAAUAUCUGUUGCACGCUCUGUGUGUCCCUUCAAGGCAGCAACCUUCUUUACUUGAGGCAUGCUCCAUAUUUUAGCAACUCCAUUUAACGCACAGGUACCGAGCAGUUUUCCAUCAGUCGAGAAGGAACAACCAGAGAGUGGCCGGUCAUCUCCAAUUUCACUAGAGUCAAGUACUAAGCUCCCAGCCUGCUUCAGUGCCCAAUCAAUUUCAGCAUCUAAAUCUUCAUCUGGAUCAUCCCUUUUCCUCCUUGCACGUUGAAGUCUCAAAGCAGCUCUUAGAAUUGAAUACUUUGCAAUAUGAAUUCUAGCAUCUAAAAUCUCUUUUGAACCCUCGGUAUAAAAUGGGUAUUGAAGCAUUUCUUCCUCAGCAUCAUCUGUAACCGCCGAAGCUGCAGCUUCCUCCUCCUCAUGAGCUUUCAUCAGUUUCUCCAAUUGCCCUUCAGCAUCUAGCUUCGCCAUAAGCAUCCUUAGCCUGUCUCGUCUCUCCAUCUCCCGUUCUCCAAACAGCGUUAUUGGUUCUCCCAACCGCCGGAGACGGGCUCGGACCGCCAUGUCGUUAGUAGGCACUGCCAGAGCAGCAGCUCGCCGCUUCAUCAUGAUUUCCUGCACAAUCUUUUGUUUUCUCUCUUUUGCUAGUCGGCUUCCUUCCGAGAACUCAUAAUCACCCGUUGAUCCCGGAGCAGUCCCGGCGGGGCCAAAGUCAUCUUGAUCGGAAUCUGAGUCACUCGUUCUCUCUUCACCAUUUUGCGACACAGGUGGCGUCCUAAGAACAGGCGGGCGGAUAGGGAGAGGCGCUAAGGGGCGAGGGAUUGCGGGAGGAGGAAGUGGAGGUAUUGGAGCAAUAGGUGGCACAAAUGAGGGGACUACAGGUGUAAUGAUAGGUGGGAUUUGUUGAACUACAGUUUGAUUUUCGGGAACUGCAGC
rnacentral:misc_RNA from 1 species